ACAAAGGCCCUUUUAAGGGCCACCAAAAAAUAAUAAAAUAAAAUA
rfam:Myotis davidii contig4961, whole genome shotgun sequence.